rnacentral:rRNA from 1 species
AUUGAACGCUGGCGGCAUGCUUUACACAUGCAAGUCGAACGGUAACAGGCCGCAAGGUGCUGACGAGUGGCGAACGGGUGAGUAAUGCAUCGGAACGUGCCCAGUCGUGGGGGAUAACGCAGCGAAAGCUGCGCUAAUACCGCAUACGAUCUAUGGAUGAAAGCGGGGGACCGAAAGGCCUCGCGCGAUUGGAGCGGCCGAUGUCAGAUUAGGUAGUUGGUGGGGUAAAGGCUCACCAAGCCAACGAUCUGUAGCUGGUCUGAGAGGACGACCAGCCACACUGGGACUGAGACACGGCCCAGACUCCUACGGGAGGCAGCAGUGGGGAAUUUUGGACAAUGGGCGCAAGCCUGAUCCAGCAAUGCCGCGUGCAGGAAGAAGGCCUUCGGGUUGUAAACUGCUUUUGUACGGAACGAAACGGCUCUGGUUAAUACCUGGGGCUAAUGACGGUACCGUAAGAAUAAGCACCGGCUAACUACGUGCCAGCCGCCGCGGUAA